rnacentral:rRNA from 1 species
GACGAGGGAUCCUAGCGUUGCUCGGAAUCAUUGGGCGUAAAGCGGGUGUAGGUGGCUUGACAAGUCAGGUGUGAAAGCCCAGGGCUCAACCCUGGAAGUGCAUUUGAAACUGUCGAGCUUGAGUGCUAGAGAGGUUAUUAGAAUACCUGGUGUAGUGGUGAAAUACGUAGAUAUCAGGUGGAACACCGGAGGCGAAGGCG